ensembl:lncRNA
AGCAUUUCAGAUGGCACUGAACCACGCCAAAGUCUGAGCAGCUAAAUCCAGCACCUUUGCCUGCUAGCUAAAUAUCUCUUUUAGACUGUAUUAACUGUAAUGGAAACUUAGGCACCAAGGUAACAUCUGACAUCUGGAGUUUUGCAUUUACUUACAUUAAUUCAGAGCUGAAUGCUAUCCCACUAUUUCAGUGCUCAUUUAAACUGAAGGUGGACCCCUACAUGGAUCAGAUGAUUUGCCUUCUGGAAAGGAGUGCUUUGAUAGCCACACUGGAGAUGUGUCUGAAAUCAGUCAUUUCACCUCUGUUCUCACAACAGUUUUGGGGACAGGAGGACAACUGAAAGAGCAAAAGCAUCACAAGGUGUACAUUCUGUAAGUGAUGUCCUGAUCUGAGGAAUCUCAAUUACAGUCCUCUGUUGCGGAGACAUCUCCUAAACAGGGGUAGUCAAGCAGCUGGAGAAGGUACUUUCCGCAGGUAGGUUGUAACAUCUUUGUCAUUCUGUCCUUCUUCUCCAGCACUUAGCAUGCAGAGCUCAACCAGAGUGAUGCCAGCAGACACUAUUACAGUGCAGUGAUAUUGUAAUGACAUUCCAAAAAAAAAAAAAAAAAGCCUAUGGUUUAUGGUGAUUAAUUUAACCUGACUCUCAAUAUAAAUUACAGCAGUCUUUGUACCAACUCAUCACAGAAGAAUACAAUAGAUAACACUUCAAAUGGCACAUCUCCUCUCUGGUGCCUUUGCAAAGGAAAGAGCUUGUAGCUCUGCAAAAACUGAGCCUGGAAAGACCCCAGUGAGGUGAGACCCUUAGGCUGGCAGUUCAUAGCCUCAGCAUCAGCAUCAAACAGGAAGGCAGAACACCACAAAGGCUUAGGUGUGAAUUCACAUUGCAGGAUCCUCUGCUAGGUGUGAAACCUAUGCCAGAUAUUAGUCAUUUCUAUUAUUUUUACAUCUAUGGGCUAGUAGUUGUUUUUACAAAUACUUUAUCUCACUAUAUUGCAAAGAAAGUGUAAAGGCCUUCAAAGGAAGUAGAAAGAUACUGCUCUUUAUCUGUACUCGAUGUUCCAGUGUGCCCACACGCUCUUAGCACUCCUGCUACCUCACUUGCAGGUACCCAUGCCGUUAUAGUUAAGCACAUGAGAGAUGCCUGAACCCCCCGCCCUUCCUUGGCACUAUGAGGUGCCCAGAAAGCAAUGGAGGCAGCUCUUUGGUAUUAUGCUGAGCACCUGAACAUGGAUCUUCCAAGCGUUCAGCUGCACACAGAGACCAGUUGGUAGAAGGAAAGAAAGCCGUUGCAGAACGUAGAAUGGCCAUGUUCCACACUGGUUUAGAGAAGACGCUCAUGAUAGCCUCCUCCAAGUCUUCAAAUCUAUAAACCCGUGG